rnacentral:tRNA from 1 species
GCGGGUGUAGCUCAGUGGUAGAGCUCCAGCCUUCCAAGCUGGCCAUGUGGGUUCGAUUCCCAUCACCCGCU